GAUCAAGCGAAUAAGUGCAUGUGGUGGAUGCCUUGGCGAUUACAGGCGAUGAAGGACGUAGCAGUCUGCGAAAAGCCACGGGGAGCUGACAAGCAAGCUUUGAUCCGUGGAUAUCCGAAUGGGGAAACCCACCCGCAAGGGUACUCCCUCCUGAAUACAUAGGGAGGGUAGAGCGAACGCAGCGAACUGAAACAUCUAAGUAGCUGCAGGAAAAGAAAUCAACCGAGAUUCCGUAAGUAGUGGCGAGCGAACACGGAAGAGCCUUGCAACUUUUAGCACACGAAUUAACAGAACGGUCUGGAAAGUCCGGCGAUAGUGGGUGAUAGCCCCGUAUGUAAAAAUUCGAGUGUGGAACUAGGGUUGCGACAAGUAGGGCGGGGCACGAGAAACCUUGUCUGAAUAUGGGGGGACCAUCCUCCAAGGCUAAAUACUCGUAAUCGACCGAUAGUGAACUAGUACCGUGAGGGAAAGGCGAAAAGAACCCCGGGAGGGGAGUGAAAUAGAUCCUGAAACCGCAUGCAUACAAACAGUGGGAGCCCCUGCUUUAAGCGCUUUGCGCUUUAGGCGGUGAGGAGUAAAGAGUGAGGAGUGAGGAGUGAGAGCGAAAGCUUUUGACCCCUCACUCCUCACUCCUCGCUCCUCACUGAUCUUAGAGCGUUUAAAGCAGGGGUGACUGCGUACCUUUUGUAUAAUGGGUCAGCGACUUACAUUCAGUAGCAAGCUUAACCGAAUAGGGGAGGCGUAGGGAAACCGAGUCUGAUAAGGGCGUCAAGUUGCUGGGUGUAGACCCGAAACCAAGUGAUCUAUCCAUGGCCAGGAUGAAGGUGAGGUAACACUCACUGGAGGUCCGAACCCACUAACGUUGAAAAGUUAGGGGAUGAGCUGUGGAUAGGGGUGAAAGGCCAAACAAACUUGGAAAUAGCUGGUUCUCUCCGAAAACUAUUGAGGUAGUGCCUCGUAAUAUACCCUCGGGGGUAAAGCACUGUUAUGGCUAGGGGCCUAUUGCUGGUUACCAACCCAUGGCAAACUAAGAAUACCGAGGAGUAAUUUUACGGGAGACAGACAUCGGGUGCUAACGUCCGGUGUCAAGAGGGAAACAACCCAGACCGCCGUCUAAGGUCCCAAAGCAUAGUUAAGUGGAAAACGAAGUGGGAAGGCACAGACAGCCAGGAGGUUGGCUUAGAAGCAGCCAUCCUUUAAAGAAAGCGUAAUAGCUCACUGGUCGAGUCGUCCUGCGCGGAAGAUGUAACGGGGCUCAAACUAUGCACCGAAGACGCGGAUCUAGACAUUCUCAUGGAUGUUUAGGUGGUAGGAGAGCGUUCUGUAAGCCUGCGAAGGUGUCUUGAGAAGGAUGCUGGAGGUAUCAGAAGUGCGAAUGCUGACAUGAGUAGCGAUAAAGGGAGUGAAAAGCUCCCUCGCCGAAAGCCCAAGGUUUCCUGCGCAACGUUCAUCGGCGCAGGGUGAGUCGGCCCCUAAGGUGAGGCAGAAAUGCGUAGCUGAUGGGAAAUCGGUUAAUAUUCCGAUACCUUUGUAUAAUGCGAUGGGGGGACGGAGAAGGUUAGCUCGGCCGGGUGUUGGAUGUCCCGGUUUAAGCGUGUAGGCUGGUUCUUUAGGCAAAUCCGGAGAGCUUAGGUCGAGACGUGAUGACGAGUCCUCAUUGAGGAUGAAGUGAGUGAUACCAUGCUUCCAAGAAAAGCCUCUAAGCUUCAGUUAUAUAGAGACCGUACCGCAAACCGACACAGGUGGGCAGGAUGAGAAUUCUAAGGCGCUUGAGAGAACUCGGGUGAAGGAACUCGGCAAAUUAGCACCGUAACUUCGGGAGAAGGUGCGCCCCUGGUAUGUGUAGUCCCUCGCGGAUGAAGCAGAUAGGGGUUGCAGUGAAUUGGUGGCUGCGACUGUUUAAUAAAAACACAGCACUCUGCAAACACGAAAGUGGACGUAUAGGGUGUGACUCCUGCCCGGUGCCGGAAGGUUAAUUGAUGGGGUGCAAGCUCUUGAUCGAAGCCCCGGUAAACGGCGGCCGUAACUAUAACGGUCCUAAGGUAGCGAAAUUCCUUGUCGGGUAAGUUCCGACCCGCACGAAUGGAGUAACGAUGGCCACACUGUCUCCACCCGAGACUCAGCGAAGUUGAAGUGUUUGUGAAGAUGCAAUCUACCCGCUGCUAGACGGAAAGACCCCGUGCACCUUUACUGUAGCUUUACAUUGGACUUUGAACAUAUCUGUGUAGGAUAGGUGGGAGGCUUUGAAGUCGGGACGCUAGUUCCGAUGGAGCCGACGUUGAAAUACCACCCUGAUGUGUUUGAGGUUCUAACCUAGGUCCAUUAUCUGGAUCGGGGACCGUGUAUGGUAGGCAGUUUGACUGGGGCGGUCUCCUCCCAAAGAGUAACGGAGGAGUACGAAGGUAACCUAGGUACGGUCGGAAAUCGUGCUGAUAGUGCAAUGGCAUAAGGUUGCUUAACUGCGAGACGGACAGGUCGAGCAGGUGCGAAAGCAGGUCAUAGUGAUCCGGUGGUUCUGUAUGGAAGGGCCAUCGCUCAACGGAUAAAAGGUACGCCGGGGAUAACAGGCUGAUUCCCCCCAAGAGUUCAUAUCGACGGGGGAGUUUGGCACCUCGAUGUCGGCUCAUCACAUCCUGGGGCUGUAGCCGGUCCCAAGGGUAUGGCUGUUCGCCAUUUAAAGUGGUACGUGAGCUGGGUUUAAAACGUCGUGAGACAGUUUGGUCCCUAUCUGCAGUGGGCGUUGGAAGUUUGAGGGGGGCUGCUCCUAGUACGAGAGGACCGGAGUGGACGAACCUCUGGUGUACCGGUUAUGACGCCAGUCGUAUCGCCGGGUAGCUAUGUUCGGAAGAGAUAACCGCUGAAAGCAUCUAAGCGGGAAACUUGCCUCAAGAUGAGACUUCCCAGGGACUUGAUCCCUCUAAAGGUUCGUUGAAGACCACAACGUUGAUAGGUCAGGUGUGGAAGCGCAGUAAUGCGUUAAGCUAACUGAUACUAAUUGACCGUGAGGCUUGAUCCU
rfam:Sulfuricella denitrificans skB26 DNA, complete genome.